rnacentral:rRNA from 1 species
AACGUAGGUGGCAAGCGUUAUCCGGAUUUACUGGGCGUAAAGCGUGCGCAGGCGGUUUUGUAAGUCUGUCGUGAAAUCCCCGGGCUCAACCUGGGAAUUGCGAUGGAGACUGCAAGGCUAGAAUCUGGCAGAGGGGGGUAGAAUUCCACGUGUAGCAGUGAAAUGCGUAGAGAUGUGGAGGAACACCGAUGGCGAAGGCAGCCCCCUGGGUCAAGAUUGACGCUCAUGCACGAAAGCGUGGGGAGCAAACAGG